AACACACCUAUUAAUCCAGUUCCCAAAGGUAAUGGUUAUCGCUUAGUUCAGGAUUGUAGAGCCCUGAAUAGUUUAAUUGUGCCCAUUGCACCCAUUGUCCCUGAUGUGACAUCCCUCAUUACAGCCAUUCCACAUGAUGCCACUUGCUUCACUGUGAUUGAUUUAAGUAAUGCAUUUUUUCUAUACCUAUUGAUCAAGAGACACAGCUACUUAUGGCUUUUACUUUUGAAGGCUGUCAGUAUACCUGGACACGUUUACCCCAAGGCUAUGUGGAUUCCCCAGCCGUUUAUUCGCUGGUACUCCAACAUACUCUAAAAACAUGGACCCCCGGUCAUGGUUCCGUCCUUUUGCAAUAUGUUGAUUACUUAUUGUUAUGUAGCCCUAGCUAUGAGGCAAGCACUGUGGAUACUGUCAGUUUGCUCAAAUACUUAGCAACUGUGGGUCACAAGGUUGCAAAACACAAAAUGCAAUUGUGUAAAUCAAAGGUUGAUUACUUAGGUUUUGUUCUGGCUUCAGGCACCAGACAAUUGAGUCCAAAACGUAUUGAGGUCAUUCAGAGGAUUCCUAAACCCACUACUCGGAAGGAGUUGCUCACCUUCCUCGGCAUAAUUAAUUACUGCCGCCAAUGGAUCCCUGAAUGCUCCCAUUAUGACUCAAUCCUAAGGGAGGCUGUACGUUCUGACAGCCAUGAAAAUGUCU